GGGUUGUGAGGUUAAGCGACUAAGCGUACACGGUGGAUGCCCUGGCAGUCAGAGGCGAUGAAGGGCGUGCUAAUCUGCGAUAAGCGCCGGUAAGGUGAUAUGAACCGUUAUAACCGGCGAUACCCGAAUGGGGAAACCCAGUGUGAUUCGUCACACUAUCAUUAACUGAAUCCAUAGGUUAAUGAGGCGAACCGGGGGAACUGAAACAUCUAAGUACCCCGAGGAAAAGAAAUCAACCGAGAUUCCCCCAGUAGCGGCGAGCGAACGGGGAGGAGCCCAGAGCCUGAAUCAGCAUGUGUGUUAGUGGAAGUGUCUGGAAAGGCGCGCGAUACAGGGUGACAGCCCCGUACACAAAAGCGCAUGUGCUGUGAGCUCGAUGAGUAGGGCGGGACACGUGGUAUCCUGUCUGAAUAUGGGGGGACCAUCCUCCAAGGCUAAAUACUCCUGACUGACCGAUAGUGAACCAGUACCGUGAGGGAAAGGCGAAAAGAACCCCGGCGAGGGGAGUGAAAAAGAACCUGAAACCGUGUACGUACAAGCAGUGGGAGCCCCACCACCAAAGCAUUCUCUGGUGUUGAAGGCCCUGCAAAGCAGCAUCGCGGUGGCGGAGCGUCGUUUGCGACGCCCAACACACAAAACAAGCGGUGAGUGCUUUGGGGUGGGGUGACUGCGUACCUUUUGUAUAAUGGGUCAGCGACUUAUAUUCUGUAGCAAGGUUAACCGCAUAGGGGAGCCGGAGGGAAACCGAGUCUUAAU
rnacentral:rRNA from 1 species